CUCAGGAUGAACGCUAGCGGCAGGCUUAAUACAUGCAAGUCGAGGGCUCAGCAAUGGGACCGGCGCACGGGUGCGUAACACGUAUGCAACCUGCCUGUAUCUGGGGGAUAGCCUCUCGAAAGAGAGAUUAAUACCCCAUAGUAUAACUGAAGAGCUAUUUUUUGGUUAUUAAAGAUUUAUCGGUUAAAGAUGGGCAUGCGGCUGAUUAGGUAGUUGGUGAGGUAAUGGCUCACCAAGCCAACGAUCAGUAGGGGGUCUGAGAGGAUGUCCCCCCACACUGGUACUGAGACACGGACCAGACUCCUACGGGAGGCAGCAGUAGGGAAUAUUGGACAAUGGGGGCAACCCUGAUCCAGCCAUUCCGCGUGCAGGAAUAAGGCCCUAUGGGUCGUAAGCUGCUUUUGUAUGGGAAAAAAUCAUCUUACGUGUAGGAUGUUGAUGGUACCAUGAGAAUAAGGAUCGGCUAACUUCGUG
rnacentral:rRNA from 1 species